rnacentral:rRNA from 1 species
UACGAAGGGGGCUAGCGUUGUUCGGAUUUACUGGGCGUAAAGCGCGUGUAGGCGGGUCGUUAAGUUGGGGGGGAAAUCCCGAGGCUCAACCUCGGAACUGCCUUCAAAACUGGCGACCUGGAGCAAAGAAGAGGCGAGUGGAAUUGCGAGUGUAGAGGUGAAAUUCGUAGAUAUUCGCAGGAACACCAGUGGCGAAGGCGACUCGCUGGUCUUUUGCUGACGCUGAGACGCGAAAGCGUGGGGAGCAAACAGG